rnacentral:piRNA from 1 species
UUCCCAUCGAAGUUAUUUCAUUCUUGAGAA